GCUGUUAGCUUCUUCGAAACUUUGAAAUGUAGAAAUACUCCCAACCAAAAAAAAACCCCCAAAGAUAUGAAAAAUGUUUAACUUUCUUAUGGAUAUAACUAUGACAAAACUAAUAAAACAUGGGAAUUAUUUUUGCAACAGGCCGGAAAGCCAUCAUUAAAGUUCGCUUGGCUUUUGGACAAACUUAAAGUAGAGAGGGAUAGAAACCACUCCAUCGACAGCAAGACGCGGCGAGUGGAGACCUCUGUCUACAAUAUGGUCGUCAUCGACUGUCCGGGACACCGGAACUACGUCCACAACAUGAUCACGGGGAUUUCCCAGUCAGACAUUGUGGUGUUGGUUGUGCCAGCCCCGAAGAAAGAGUUCGAGUUGACCAUUACAAAGACCGGACAACUAAGGGAGUUCCUGAACAUUGCCUACUCUAUGGGGAUCAAGAAACUCAUUGUUGUCGUAAACAAGAUGGACGCAACUUCACCUCCAUAUUCUCAGGUCAGAAGUCAACAAAGAACUUGGAUCUACGAAAUCGUUUUUUAUGUGUUAGUUUUGUAUGCGUUUUGUUUAAAUUGAGAAAGUUGACAAAUCAUAAACACUAUAUAAAAAUAAACCUAAGACAGACAGUGCACACAUAUUUCGCUCGUGUUAGUAAUCGUUCUAAGCUUCUGGCAACACGUUUUAACUGCCAGGAUCUCUUUUCCUUUCCUCUCAAACCUUCCACAGAGCAAUGUAAAAAUCCAUUGAAAUGGACAAUACUUUCUCAGGAACAGUAUUCUAAUGAAAACCAUUGUCAAUUUUUAUGACAUAAAGCCAAUUUUCGUCUCCCUCAUUUGCAGAUAAUGGACUGUCUGUACUUGUCCCGUCACUUAACAAGUUUUGAACUGGUCUUUCAAAUAUCAAUCAUUGUUUAAGAAUUCUGGUGACAAUGUAAUUUGUGUUAAGAACGAAUCUGGAUCCUGUUAUUUAGAAAUGGCAAUUCUUGUUCAUCAUUUAUUGCAGAUACAGUACAACUCAUGCAUUCACCUUGUUCACCGCGUUGCACAAAAGGUUGGCUACAACCCAAAUAAAGUCAUAUUUGUGCCCGUAUCAGCUUUGAAGGAUGACAACAUCACAACACCGACGUCUAAUAUGGCGUGGUACGACAAUUGGGAGACUGUGAGCAGGCCCGGAAAUCACGUGACCGGUGUGACGUUGCUCGACGCUCUACACAAAACACAACAACCCACACGCAUGAACAGUAAACCCCUCCGUGUUCCCAUCCACACCGUGUACAAACUGGGGACCAUAGGUAUCGUGGCUGCCGGACGGGUGCAUGCUGGGUCAAUCAGACCGCAGAUGGAGCUCAGCUUCGCUCCAUCAAACAGGAAGUGUUCGGCACGUGCAAUACAGAUUUAUGGCGAGAUUACUAACGAGGGUCGAGCAGGAGACAAUGUGGGGAUUCAGCUGGAAGGCUUGAGCACAAACAAGAUCAGGAGGGGGUUCGUCUGUGGAAACUUGUACGAUGACCCGCCUCAUGAAGUCAAACAAAUCACAGCGCAGAUUCGAAUAUUAUAUCAUCCCGGAAAUAUCAAGAAAGGUUAUUCCCCUUUGCUGCACUGCCACACCGCCAUGACAGCAUGUACCAUAACCAAGAUUAUAGAACGGACGGACGAUCGAACGGGACUGACAGCUGAAGAUUUCCCGACAUCCUUGUCGACCGGAAACGUCGGUCUGGUGGAAAUGAUUUUACUGAAACCAAUCUGUAUAGAAACCUUCUUUGAUUAUCCGUCAUUAGGGAGAAUCAUUUUACGUGAUUUGAAGCAGACGAUAGCUGUUGGAGUCGUAGUAAAGGUUACUAAAGGCAAUAUAAAAGACAUGAAGAGUUUAUUAAAAAAGCAAAGCCAAGAGAACAAUAUAGAUGAGGAUGUGGAAAAAAAUGAAAUAGAUACUGCAGAAAAGUACGAUUCCUUGAAACACUUCCCUAAUAAUCGUAGAAAUAAAGGCCAAAUUGAUGGCAACAACGAAAAUGAAAAUUGUAAUAAAGAACAAACUGCAACAAAAGAAGGUAUAAUAGAAACCAUUGCAGACAUCACAGAGGAGGAAAUAGCAUCUGAUCUCAAGAGAACUCCCGAUUUAGAGAAAAAAGACUCGAUAAUUGAGAAACUGACACCAGUUAAUAAAACUGAAAAUAAUGUGGUAGAUAUUGAAAAUGACAAUUGUGAAAAUGAAAAGGAAAACUCUGAAGGAAUAUUAAAACUUAACAUUAACUUAGCGGGGUCUAUGAACGAAAACGAAGACCUUACCAUGGAAGAGGAUGUGUAACUCUGUAGAAAUGUCAUCUAUUUGUAUGUCCUUGUUGUUAACUUUUCACAUUUUUUAGUACGAAUCUGAACUGUUGAAAUGUUCUUUGGUUAUUUCAACAGUAUGGAUGUCCAUGCAGAAAAAUGCUUCCGCAAAUAUAACUAGUACAUAUUAUUUGU
rnacentral:misc_RNA from 1 species